GGAGUGGGCCGGGAAGCCCCUCGCGCACGUGACUGAGCCGCUGCUGCGGAGAAAGAAACGGGAGGAGGGGGUGGGCGGUUUGGGGAGAGCUCACCUGGAGACCGUUACCAUGGGAACCAGGGAGGAGGGCUGCCGAGAGCCGCCGGUUAUAUAUCACCAGGACUGGAUGGUUGUGCUGCGGAAAACGUGCUGACUCCAGGGUGAAAGGACCAGGGUUCGGAGCUUUGCGGCUCCCUGGCCUGCGCCACCCGGAGCACGUCUCGCACUGGAAAGCCGAGCAGCCGGGACUUGAAGGGGACGGGCCCUGGAGAGCCCCCGGCCCCGAGGGAGAAGGGCCGAGGAUUUGGGCCGCCUUCCUGCUGAAUGCCGGACAGAAGAAAACCCGGCACCCCCCCCCCAGUUGCCUCCAGCUGCCUCCUUUGGUAAAUCGUCAGAAGUCAAAGUAAAUGAAGAGAACCACAACCCGAACUUGGAGCAGCAGAAGCCGGGCCCUUCCCAGGACGCCCGGCAGCUGCCCGCAAUGAAGCCACUGCUGCCGUUUGGCUUCCGCGCCAUGGAAAGCCUCUAACGUGAUUUGCCCCCAUGUCUCCGCCCCAGAAGCAGAUGCUGGGCUAGAACCGGUGCCCCCUCCCUCCCUCCAUCCCCAGCUCCUCCCGGUCUCCCAGAACCCCCCCCCCGCCCCCCGGAACUCCCCUCAGGCUCUGGUUUGUGGAGCAUCACCUUGGACAGCGCCCCCCAAGAACAGCCCGACCUUUGAGAGCAGGGGCUCCCUCAGCACUGAGGUUCUAGCUGCAGGCGGGCUCUGUGCCAGAGCGGAUAGAAAGGAGGGAAAACCGGGUCCUGCCCUUGGGGCCCAUUGCCUUGGGGCGGAAGAUGAAUAAAUCACGAUUUCCAUGGGAGAAUACCAAUGAUAACGUCAGGGAAGGCUUGGGAGGUGGGGGGAGGACUCCCACAGGAGGGAGAUUGGGAGUCUGAAAGGAAGGAAGGGAGGGAAGCCAGGAGCCAGGGACAAGGAGGCAGAGGAAGGGCCUGGUGCGGGGCACGGCCAAGGGCAAAGACACGGCUUCGGGAGAUGGGGAGUCCUGCGCACAGAAUGGGGCCAGCGCAGUGUAGUUGGGCCCGGGAGGCACGAAAGGGAGCCCGGGGCCAUUAGGCUGAAAAGGUAAGUUCGCUCUGGCCUUUGAAGGGCUUUAAAUGAUGAAGUUCCUAUAAGCCCAAAGGCGGUGGCCACUAGAGCUCACUGAGCAAAGAGGUCUGGGCUUCGGGGAACUCACCUAACCAGGGAUCAAGACAGUCGCACGGGGAGAGGUCAGAGGGGGAGACCCGUGAGGGCUCCGGCCCAGUCCAGGGGAGCGGCUCUGGUGAGAGGCCCCGGAGGGGUGGGGGGUGGGUGUGAACCGUCAGAUCGUGAGCCCGACGCCAGGAAGAUGGAGGCAGAGCCUGGAGGAGGAGACAAAGCCUAUUUUGGAAAUGCUGAGCUUCAGAUGCUCAAGGCACACGAGGUUCAGGCGCCGGUGGUGGGGCUGGAGCUUGGCAGAGGAAGGCAGGUCGGCCGCGCGGCUGUGGGGACCUCUGAGUGGUCGCCAGAUGGGAGCACGGGAGACAGGCCGGGAGGAGCGGUGGGGGACGGGGCCGAGAACCCCUCCGAGAGGAGGAGCGGUCACAGGGGGGGCUCACAGGGAGCCUGCGGGGAUACGGCCUCCAGGAGGGAAGGACCAUGGGCCGGGAGCCGGGGACAGAGAAGCAAACAGUCCUGGAGACCGGAGAGGACUUCGGAGUCAGCAGGUCUGUCCGCGGGGGCUCGGGAGGGAACAGUGGCCGCUGACAUCCCAGGGCCAAGGGCAGGGAGGCGGAGAUCUCCAUCGGGCCCUCCUUUGUUACCGGCUAAGGCCAGCCUCCAUGCCUCGGGCCCAGCUUGGUUCUCCCUCUGCUCAGCGAGUCCCCGCGGAGGUCCCGUGGGAGGCUGAGGGGAAGCCAGGACCAUCCCAGCCACAGCUUCCUUGGGAGAGCACAGCCGUGAGAGCCCCCGGUGCUGGGUCCGGCCAACAGGAAAACCUGGCCGGGUCUGGUUGGAAGAAACGGCCGAAAAGACCGAGCAGUCCCGGGGCAGCGAGGGCGCAGUCCUGGGGGCAAAGUCCCGGGGCAGCGAGGGCGCAGCCGCUGAUCGCCUCGGCCAAAGGAGGGGGGCUCUGUCUGAGGGGGACGUGUCCCAUUCCCGCGGCUAAUUUUACAUUGAUGGGCGAGCCCUUGGGGAGAGAUCUCUUCUGAGAGUGUCGUGACUAAAACCAGUGCCAGUGACCUCAUCUGAAAGCUGCUGUCGGCAACAUCCCACAUCCACAAGACUGGAAAAUAACAGACAUCUAUUUUUUCUCUCCCGCUCAUGCACCUUAAAUUUCCCUGUAACAAAUGUGCAAAGUCAAGCAAAACUACAUUUGCCAAGUAGCUAAAAGGCCAUGAAAUUACGGCUCUUCAUGAAGAUGAGUGCGGCGGACACCAGAGCAGCAGGUUCUUUCCGGGAGUCCCAUAAUAGCCCACACGGGCGUGCACAUGUGUGAACAUGUGUGUAUAUAUGCACAUGUGUGGACAUACAUGUAUGAGGUGUGGGGGUUUCUGCUCCCCGAGUCUGUCAUCUCCUUGAUAUGGAGGCCCCGGUUCACCAUCAGCCCUCAGGACUCACGAAGGCUCAAUAGACCCAAGUUUUUCAGUGAUUUCUCCUUCACAACGUGCUUUCUACCUCACAAAGUACUCUCCUGGCUGUGCGUCGGUUCCCACGGGUCCCAGGGCUUUCGAGAUGACCCGCUCCCUCAUUUCUUAGGGCACAACAACACAUGUAAAAAGGUCAAGAAUUCCAAGAGAGAAGGGAACAAAGGGACCUGGCAGUGCCAGAUUCCAAACUCGUCUGUAAAGCAGCAGUGAUCAAAGCAGUUGCAAUAAUGAAAUUAUUCAAUUCAAAUUUAGAGAAUUACCAAAACUUUAAAUAGUUAAAAAUGAACCCACCAGUGGCGCGGAUUAGGUACAAAAGCCUCUGGGUCUGGUGCCCGGCUUCUGGGCCGAGGUCUCCCCAUGACAGAAACUGCUGGGAAAGGAGCAAAGUGGAGUAACACCUCACGCUUCGUACCCAGAAGUUCCAAAGAAACAUGUGGCCCGGAUGCAAAGGUACAUCAUCAAUGAAUUAGAGAAAGAAGGGGGAGGGGGACUCAAAUCUACAGAGAGAGAAGUUCCCAACCACAUAAAGGACAGAAAGGACGGUGAGCGAUAGAAGGAAUUGUUCUUGAUUUUGAUAUUUUAAAAGGACUUGCCCAAACAACCCACUUCAGGUUAAAAUGGAAAUAACUAGGAUAAAGACAUUUUCAGGUCUCCCUGGGAAAGGUCUCAUUUCUAAGAAAGAAAAGGAAGUGAUCCAAGUCUAUAAGAAUAAGAGCCGUUCCCCGAAUGACAUGUAACACUGUGCUCAAAAGCGCAGUGAAAUUAGGGAAAUAAGCUAAGGCAGUUUUGAGUUUCUGCCUCGUGGCCAUUGGAUUAGUAAAGAUGAUUUUUUAAAAAGCGGUCAGCGCUGAAAGGACAGUGGAAUAACAGGUCUGUGGGUCCUCCACAGGUGGGGCUCCAAAGGGAGGGGAGCACGUGGAUUUGUAUAAAAGGGCUUCGGCCCAGCCGCGCCACUUCUAUGCUUAUGUACAAACAGAUUUCAUUUUUUAAAGAGGAAAAGAUCAUUUGCGGACAAACACACAGAGCAGCUCUUUUUGUGGUGUCAAAAAUAAUGGAAACUGAGGGUGUCCAGCAAUUAGUGGAUGGCUGAGGGCGCCGUGGUUCAGGACUGUGAUGGAAUCCUGUCUGUGAGAACCGAAAAGUUACUACGAGACUCUGGUGUUUCUUUCAUCCUGCAGGCACUGGGGCCUUUGAUGGCUCUUUUUAUUAACCACGUCCUGGGUUAGCCGGUCUUGGAGCUUAGGGAGGAUCUUGAUUCUGCCGAGGAUGAAAUGCUGUGAGAUUCUGGCUCCUCACAAAACAGGGCCAGGGGACAGUCCAGCAGGGAGUUCGUGCCAGGCAUGAGACAGCCCGGGGGGGAAAAGGCCCUUUAGGUCCUGUGAGGCCUCCUUGGCAGCCUCUGUGUUGCGGAGCUCCCGGCGCAGAGCUCACGGGCUCCAGGAACCAGGGGCUCUUCUCACAGCGCUCUGAGGUGGGCUCGGGAUGCCUUUCUCUGCCCUUCUUCCUCAUGGCACACUCCAGAUCUGGAGAGAAACCAGGACUUGCCGAUGGAGUGGCCCCUUAAUGGGGCUCGCAGGAGGCUCCCCUGUCACUGCCCUGGCACUUGUAGCUUUUUGCUUCUCCGUGCCCUGUGCUCGUGGCAGCAAAGCUGGCAGUGCCCUAAUUGUGUGGCCCGGCCUGCUUGCUCUAUUGUGGCUGCUGCAUCAGACAGUUGGGCAAAGCCCGCUGGCACACUGGGCAGAGAGGGUGAUGCAGGGGUAAAGUACCUCAGGUUUUUGAUGGCGGCACGAGAGGACUGUGCAGCGUUUGGGGGUGGCAGACCUAGCUUGCCCCGGGACUUACCACUUUACCCUCUCCGGCAGUGGUUCUCAAAUUUUUGUUCUCAGUAUCUUCAUGUUAAACAAUUAUCGAGGAUCUGUUCAAAGA